rnacentral:rRNA from 1 species
AUUGAACGCUGGCGGCAUGCUUUACACAUGCAAGUCGAACGGUAACAGGCCGCAAGGUGCUGACGAGUGGCGAACGGGUGAGUAAUGCACCGGAACGUGCACAGUCGUGGGGGAUAACUACUCGAAAGAGUAGCUAAUACCGCAUACGAUCGAUGGAUGAAAGCGGGGGACCGUAAGGCAACGCGCGAGUGGAGCGGCCGAUGUCAGAUUAGGUCGUUGGUGGGGUAAAGGCUCACCAAGCCAACGAUCUGUAGCUGGUCUGAGAGGACGAGCACCCACACUGGAGCUGGGCCACGCCCCAGACUCCUACGGGAGGCAGCAGUGGGGAAUUUUGGGCAAUGGGCGCAAGCCUGGUCCAGCAGUGCCGCGUGCAGGACGACGGCCUUCGGGUUGUAAACUGCUUUUGUACGUAACGAACCGGCUCUGGUUAAUACCCGGGGCUAAUGACGGUACCGUAAGAAUAAGCACCGGCUAACUACGUG